UUUCUUWGUUUGAUCCUGKCUCAGGACGAACGCUGGCGGCGUGCCUAAUACAUGCAAGUCGAACGAACGGAGGAAGAGCUUGCUCUUCCAAAGUUAGUGGCGGACGGGUGAGUAACACGUGGGCAACCUGCCUGUAAGUUGGGGAUAACUCCGGGAAACCGGGGCUAAUACCGAAUGAUAAAGUGUGGCGCAUGCCACGCUUUUGAAAGAUGGUUUCGGCUAUCGCUUACAGAUGGGCCCGCGGUGCAUUAGCUAGUUGGUAGGGUAAUGGCCUACCAAGGCAACGAUGCAUAGCCGACCUGAGAGGGUGAUCGGCCACACUGGGACUGAGACACGGCCCAGACUCCUACGGGAGGCAGCAGUAGGGAAUCUUCCGCAAUGGACGAAAGUCUGACGGAGCAACGCCGCGUGUAUGAAGAAGGUUUUCGGAUCGUAAAGUACUGUUGUUAGAGAAGAACAAGGAUAAGAGUAACUGCUGUCCCUGACGWUCWCCCMRAG
rnacentral:rRNA from 1 species